GUCCUCGUAGUGUAAUGGAUAGCAAAUAUGACUUCGAAUCAUUUAAUAUGGGUUCGAUUCCCAUCGGGGAUA